rnacentral:tRNA from 1 species
AGAUUGGUGGCUAAAUGGAAGAAAACGCGUGUUUUUAAACCGCAUAUCCGAGGGUUCGAAUCCCCCACCACUUA